CUUUAUCCUUAGCCAGCAUCAAUUUAUUCCUGGGCAGCAGAGUAAGCGUCUAGUGGUGUAGACGUCCCAGAUGUCCUCCUGCAUAUUUUUCCCUUUACAAAUGAAGAACUGCCUCUGAGGAAGAAGAGAUGAGGACACAGGUCCACACAGAAGAAGAUGCUAUGAAGACACACAUGGCCGGAAACCAGGGGAGAGGCCAGAAAACAACCCUGCCACAUCUCCAUCUUGAGCUUCUGGCCUCUAAAACUAUGAAAAAACCAAGGCCCAGAUUCUACUGAGCAGACCAGUGGACAAACUGAAACUCAUACUCUCCAAGGUUUUAAAUACAAUCAUGUGUCUCUUAACACGGGGAGAUACAAGUUCUGAGAAAUUCAUCCUUAGGCGAUUUCAUCAUUUACACAAAGCUAGGUGCUACAACCCAUGACACCCUCCUGGGCUGUACACCUGCCCAGCAUGUCACCACUUCCCAGCAUGAUGGUAAG